UUGGAGGGCAAGUCUGGUGCCAGCAGCCGCGGUAAUUCCAGCUCCAAUAGCGUAUAUUAAAGUUGUUGCAGUUAAAAAGCUCGUAGUUGAAUUUCGGAGUUUGUCGGUUGGUCGGGCUUCACUGUCCGCACUGGCCUGAUGGAUUCCUACCUUCUGAAUAACCAGCAUGCUAUUAAGUUAGUGCGUUGGGGAAGCAGAGCUAUUACCUUGAAAAAAUUAGAGUGCUUAAAGCAGGCUUACGCUUGAAUAGAUUAGCAUGGAAUAAUAAAAUAGGACGGCAUGGUUCUAUUUUGUUGGUUUCUAGGAUCACCGUAAUGAUUAAUAGGGAUAGUUGGGGGCAUUAGUACUCAAUUGUCAGAGGUGAAAUUCUUGGAUUUAUUGAAGACUAACUUCUGCGAAAGCAUUUGCCAAGGAUGUUUUCAUUAAUCAAGAACGAAAGUUAGGGGAUCGAAGACGAUCAGAUACCGUCGUAGUCUUAACCAUAAACUAUGCCGACUAGGGAUCGGACGAUGUUAAUUUUUUAAUGACUCGUUCGGCGCCUUACGGGAAAC
rnacentral:rRNA from 1 species